GAGAGCCAGAGCCAGUAACUCCAGUACGAGCCAGAGCCAGAGAACUCGUACUGGAGUCUCUGGCUCUGGCUCGUACUGGAGUCUCUGGCUCUGGCUC
rnacentral:pre_miRNA from 1 species